AGUGAACGCUGGCGGUAGGCCUAACACAUGCAAGUCGAGCGGCAGCACAGGAGAGCUUGCUCUCUGGGUGGCGAGUGGCGGACGGGUGAGGAAUACAUCGGAAUCUACUUUUUCGUGGGGGAUAACGUAGGGAAACUUACGCUAAUACCGCAUACGACCUACGGGUGAAAGCAGGGGACCUUCGGGCCUUGCGCGAUUGAAUGAGCCGAUGUCGGAUUAGCUAGUUGGCGGGGUAAAGGCCCACUAAGGCGACGAUCCGUAGCUGGUCUGAGAGGAUGAUCAGCCACACUGGAACUGGGACACGGUCCAGACUCCUACGGGAGGCAGCAGCGGGGAAUAUUGGACAAUGGGCGCAAGCCUGAUCCAGCCAUACCGCGUGGGUGAAGAAGGCCUUCGGGUUGUAAAGCCCUUUUGUUGGGAAAGAAAUCCAGCUGGCUAAUACCCGGUUGGGAUGACGGUACCCAAAGAAUAAGCACCGGCUAACUUCGUGCCAGCAGCCGCAGUAA
rnacentral:rRNA from 1 species